rnacentral:lncRNA from 1 species
AUUAUAGUAAACAUUUAAUUGAUUCUGUUUAUAAUCGAUUAUUUUUACAAUACAUCAAUUAUUUUAAAAGGCAUAGCAUUACUAAAUUAUUACUUAUUCAAAAUGUGUGGGCUUUGUCUUGGUUUAACAAAGUUUGGUAACGAGAGAGGGAUUUGGUUACUCAUCUUAACCUUACACCAUCUUUAUGCAUAUCUACUAAGGGUUCCAUCUUAGGUUCCAUUUAGUGUUGACCUAUUUGAUAUUGUUGUGUAGUGGUUUAGAAGGCACAAUUGUUGUGGAAAUGUCGUAGUUGUGAAAUAAAGAUUGAUUGUGUGCUUAAACAAGAUUUGGUUACUCAUUGUAAUCUUACACUGUCUUUAUGCAUAACUACUAAGGUUUCCAUCUUAGGUUCUGAUUGGUAUUGGCCUAUUUGAUAUUGUUGUGUAGUGGCUUACAAGCCACAAUUGCUAUGGAAAUGUUAUAGUUGUGAAAUAAAGAUUGAUUAUGUGCUUGAAUAAUAUUUUUUAAAAAAAUGGUUAAAAUAUUAUAGGUUUUUCAUCAUAUAAACAUAAAAUAAAAAUUAACUUAUCUUCUGAAGCACAUCAUCAACCUAUCAAGUGCUAGAACUGUAACUUUUAAAUUACAACAGCCCAUUCUUAUUACUAAACUAGCUAUUUACAUCUCUAUAGUUUGGUGUAAUAAAUCAUUAUAUUGUUAUAGUUUAUAAAAUCCCUCAAACAUCCCUCUUUCUCAAAUCUUUUAUUAUUUUUCAAUUU